rnacentral:rRNA from 1 species
UACGUAGGGUGCGAGCGUUGUCCGGAAUUAUUGGGCGUAAAGGGCUCGUAGGCGGUUUGUCGCGUCGGGAGUGAAAACACUGGGCUUAACCGAGUGCUUGCUUCCGAUACGGGCAGGCUUGAGGCAUUGAGGGGGAGAACGGAAUUCCUGGUGUAGCGGUGAAAUGCGCAGAUAUCAGGAGGAACACCGGUGGCGAAGGCGGUUCUCUGGCAAU